rfam:Triticum aestivum genome assembly, contig: Triticum_aestivum_CS42_TGACv1_scaffold_433902_5DL
AAAGUACUUCCUCCGUCCCAAAAUUCUUGUCUUAGAUUUGUCUAGAUACGGAUGUCGUAUCUAGACAAAUCUAAGACAAGAAUUUUGGGACGGAGGGAGUAAUAA